CUGUACUCUUCUAUGGAUGUGAUUAUCAGUAUAUAUUCCUGAUCCUUCUAUGAGCAUAUCUUCCUUUGCUUGAUUCUUCUUCUAUUUAAUAAAUAAAUGUUUUCAGAAAACAAGUGGAAUAUAAGCAACUUGCAAAUUUUCUAGUAUCUCUACUCCUUACCAAGUGGAUGGUGGUAGGCCAUAGGAGGUAGACUGCAGGGCAAUCACAGGUUAGUUUAGUGGAGAUGGUGGCGUCAUGCUCCAGAUCAAAAUAAGUAAAGUAAUUCUGUCAGAAAGCAAGCAAGCAUUCAUGCAUGAACCUAAAGCAAAAACAAGGUUAACGAAUUAUUGCUGUGUUGGUGGGUUAGGCACAAAACACAAUGGCCCCAAAAUCUGGGCAUAUGUGCCACCAAGACACUAGAGAAGAAAAUGACAAUAUUCAAUUAUCUACUAGGACUAGGAG
rnacentral:lncRNA from 1 species